rnacentral:tRNA from 1 species
GCUGGGGUAGCCAAGCCUGGUUGAAGGCGGUAGCCUCGAGAGCUACUGGUGCCUUUGGCACCGCAAGGGUUCAAAUCCCUUCCCCAGCG